GAACCAGCAACGCCGCGUGAGGGAAGACGGUCUUCGGAUUGUAAACCUUUGUCCUCUGUGAAGAUAAUGACGGUAGCAGAGGAGGAAGCUCCGGCUAACUACGUGCC
rnacentral:rRNA from 1 species